CCUACGGGUGGCAGCAGUGGGGAAUAUUGGGCAAUGGAGGAAACUCUGACCCAGCAACGCAGCGUGAAUGAUGAAGGUCUUCGGAUUGUUAAGUUCUUUUUUAAGGGAAGAAGAAAGUGACGGUACCUUAGGAAUAAGUCUCGGGUAACUACGUGCCAGCAGCCGAGGUAAUACGUAGGAGGCGGGCGUUAUCCGGAAUGACUGGGCGUAAGGGGUGCGUAGGUAGUUUGUCAAGUUAGUAGCGUAACUCCAAGGCUCAACCGUGGAAUUACUACUAAAACUGUUGGACUUGAGUGCAGGAGGGGUAAGCGGAAUUCAUGGUGUAGCGGUGGAAUGCGUAGAUAUUAGGAGGAACACCAGUGGCGAAGGCGGGUUGCUAGACUGUAACUGACACUGAGGCACGAAAGCGUGGGGAGCAAACAGGAUUAGAUACCCUUGUAGUC
rnacentral:rRNA from 1 species